rnacentral:misc_RNA from 1 species
UCCGGUUUGUCACCGGCAGUCUCCUAUGAGUCCCCGACAUUACUCGCUGGCAACAUAGGACAGGGGUUGCGCUCGUUGCGGGACUUAACCCAACAUCUCACGACACGAGCUGACGACAACCAUGCACCACCUGUGCACUGGCCCCGAAGGGCUGCCGCGUUUCCGCGACAUUCCAGUGCAUGUCAAACCCAGGUAAGGUUCUUCGCGUUGCCUCGAAUUAAGCCACAUGCUCCGCCGCUUGUGCGGGUCCCCGUCAAUUCCUUUGAGUUUUAGCCUUGCGGCCGUACUCCCCAGGCGGGGUGCUUAAUGCGUUAGCUGCGGCACGGAUCGCGUCGAUAGCGACCCACACCUAGCACCCAUCGUUUACGGCGUGGCCUAC